UUUGUAAGGUUUUAAAUCGAGGCCAGUUGAAAUCAAUCGAAACCUAAGAAAACAAAUCGUCAGGCAUCAUUGCCUAAUUACUUGUUUUCAAAUGUUUAAAGAUACUAACAGGCUUUGUUUGGAUCGAGUCAGCACAGUUUUAAAAUAAUUCCCAUCAUGUAUGGUCAAUCGGCAUACAGGAGAAUUUGGCUAUUAAACAAGAUCAUUCUUAUCCUUAUCUCGAUUAGCAUUGGUAUUCGCUUGUUGUGCCCGCAUAUGCUUUAAAUUAUUGAAACUCUUGGUUAGCUCAUCGUCGCACACGGAGGACAUUGUAUUGAGGAGGAGCUCUUGGGGAUUCAUCUUGGAGAAGUCCUGAAAUUGUUUAAAAGAAGUUAGCAAUUUGAGGAUACGGCAGCCAGGAAGUUCUUCCUGGAGGUCUCCUUGUUGUUCACGGCGAAGGCGGAUGUUCCGUUCGCGUUGAUGAUGCGCCGGAAGGUCUCCGUGGUGUUGGCUUCCCGCCCGUAAACCGCGACAACUA